rnacentral:rRNA from 1 species
AUUGAACGCUGGCGGCAGGCCUAACACAUGCAAGUCGAGCGGUAGAGAGGUGCUUGCAUCUCUUGAGAGCGGCGGACGGGUGAGUAAUGCCUAGGAAUCUGCCUAGUGGUGGGGGAUAACGUUCGGAAACGGACGCUAAUACCGCAUACGUCCUGCGGGAGAAAGCGGGGGAUCUUCGGACCUCGCGCCAUUAGAUGAGCCUAGGUCGGAUUAGCUAGUUGGUGAGGUAAUGGCUCACCAAGGCGACGAUCCGUAACUGGUCUGAGAGGAUGAUCAGUCACACUGGAACUGAGACACGGUCCAGACUCCUACGGGAGGCAGCAGUGGGGAAUAUUGGACAAUGGGCGAAAGCCUGAUCCAGCCAUGCCGCGUGUGUGAAGAAGGCCUCGGUUGGUUAAGGUACGACUUUCUACGUCGAGGAGGAAGAGU